CAUUUACUUCCUCACCUUCCCGUUUCUCUCUCUCUUCCUCCGCUUUGAAAACCUUUCACAUGAUUAAUGUGUUUUAGCAACACUUUAACCUCAGUUUCUUCCCUUACAUUUAUACUUCCUUAACUUUUUACCGUAUGGGACGGAACGUAUUUUCUCCAGUCUACUAUGGAUGAGGAGAGGGAGGAGGGGGAUCCUACCUCUAAGACAGCUCUGUCUGGGGAACAUGGCCGCCGGAGCAAAGCUAACAGCCCAGAGCAGCAGGAGAGAGCAGACUCCCCUGGACCCAGCUGUGCAUGCAACAUGAAGAGCAUACGUAACCUGUUCAUAAAGAGGAAGAAGAAGAAGGAGAAGCCAAUGCAUAAACAAAGAGACCAGCAGGAGAGAGCAGACUCUCCUGGACCCAGCUGUGUGUCCAUGAAGAGGGACCAAUCUACGCCUCAACCUCCUGAGCUUAAAGAUGGACGACCCUCCAGAGAUGAGAGAGAAAAGGCACAGAGACUUUUUGAUGGCUGUGGAUUGAAGACGACAACUCCAACAAUGCCAAUCAGCGUUCACCCAGUGAGGGACGUAACAUAACAGCCAAUCAGCGUUCACCCAGUGUGGGACGUUACAUAUAAUCCAAUCAGCGUUCACUCCCUGAGGGACAUAACAUAACAGCCAAUCAGCGUUCACUCUCUAAGGGACGUUACAUAACAGCCAAUCAGCGUUCACUCUCUGAGGGACGUAACAUAACAGCCAAUCAGCGUUCACUCCCUGAGGGACGUAACAUAACAGCCAAUCAGCGUUCACUCUCUGAGGGACGUAAAAUAACAGCCAAUCAGCGUUCACUCCCUGAGGGACGUAACAUAACAGCCAAUCAGCGUUCACUCCCUGAGGGACGCAACGUAAGAGCCAAUCAGUAUUCACUCCCUGCAGUCCAGCGUGAACAGCAGCAUGGAGGAGAAGUGAUUGUUGCUCUAUAUCAAAAUAAUAUCAUGUUAUAUAAUUAAGCAAUAGAUCACGACAGGCUGUGGUAUGUGCUCAUUAUACCACUGUUAAGGGGCGUAGCGGAGGGCCGGCGACCCCCUUCACAGUGGUAUAAUGAGCACAUACCACUGACUGAAGUGAUCUAUUGCUUUUAUACAACGGUUACUAUUAUGGCAAAACGAAAGUCAUGGAAACACUACAUUUAGAAAGAAACCAAGAAAGUCAAAGUAGCUGUUUUAUUAAAGAAUACAAAAAAGUAGUCCCUCCUAAACACACUUUAGCGUCCCUCCGAGAGAAGGCUCGGCUAGAGCGGUUCCCCGGCUAUUUAUCCUAUGGAGCAGUUCACUCGCCGUGUGCCUAAGCUUUCGUUAGUCUCUCCAUCGCCUUGCUCACUCCCGGAGUAACAACAUUUACACCCUCUCCAUCAUCCAACAUAUGUUUUACUUUGUAACUGUUUCUACUUCCAGGCGCGGAGUGAUAUGCAAACUUCCACAAAAUGAUCGGGCCUCAUAGCAGUUAUGUAUACGCUCAUUAUACAACAGUUAGGAACCAUUCAGAUCGCUGGAUUUAGGCCCCCCGUUGUAUAAUAUAUAUUGUAUAAUGUAAUCUAUAAUAUCGCGGCCAAAAACUGUGUGCGCCUUGGGACGAUGUUAUGAAUUAUGGACUGCGUUGGGUUCUCGGACUUCUCUGGUACUUCCACAACAAGUAAAGUCUUGUAGUGAUGAGGGUUAUCUCUGAAAAAUAAUGUACUGUGUCGGACGCGGGCGCUGGUCGGCUCUGAUGCCUGAACAGCGAGGGUCGGUGGCGGGUUUUGCGAUUGCGAGCGAGACGUCUCCGGGGCUGGAUAUGUUAUUCAGGAGCGGAGGAGUCAACUAAAAUCUUCACAGUGGAUGAUGUGCUUUCAAAAUAAGACUGUAGGGUCAGUGGUUCCCAACCCCUAGACAGGUUUGAAAAUGAGGAGUGCUUGUAGUUUUUAAGUGCCCCCCCCCC
rnacentral:lncRNA from 1 species